rnacentral:siRNA from 1 species
UGGUUUUACACUUUUAGAUGCA